UUGCAGUAUAUGUACACGUGUGAUCAUUCAAAUGACAAAAGUUACAUUUUUCUUUUUCAGUCAUACCAUUUGAUGUCGUGUUUAUAAUAAAAAAACUGAGAUGAAAGAUUGACAAAAAGGUGUCGUACUCUUGAUGGAAAAUGCUGUGCUCUUACAUGGCAUAUGUUUAAUAAAGGCUGUUGGGAGAUCACUGUCAGGAAUGCUAGGCCACUGAGUAAUCCAAGAAAUAUGCUCAUGGUCAGUCUUCACGAUACGCACCCGAAGCUUAUCAACAUACAUUGAA